rnacentral:lncRNA from 1 species
UAAAAUCCAGAAAUAAAAUUUGUCCCUCAAAAUUCAGUUGAUUUCUAAUUUUUUGUUGAUUCCAUUUGUGUUACAUUUUGAUCGUGUAAUUUUAUGUACAAGCCAACAUUGUUUUUGUUGCUGUAUGUAGUUGGUGCUGUGACUUGUUUGUGCUCAUCUCUGUUCUGUAGGCAACUUGCCACUCCCUACUGAAUAAAGCUACAGUAAAAGAAAAAAAGGAAAACAAAAAAUCAGUAAGUUUGGAGAACUUUUUUUUAGCUGUUUCUUUCAAAGCAAAACAAAAAAUCUUUUGCUGUUUGUUAAGAACAUCUUCACUUCAGCCUAUUUGACCUUCACUGUAAAAUCAUUCUACUAAUUCUGGCACAAAAUAGCUUUCAUUUCAAUUAACCCUGGAAUUAAGUUACAUUGAAACAUCUCUGUGUUCCUUUGGUUUGAUUUAUCCCAAAGGCAUUUUGGGGGCAUUUGGUGCAUUUGAUACCCCUGGUCUAAUUUUAUUACUGUUAUUUUAAAAAUUAUAAAUGAAUGCAAAAGAAACUUAAUUUCAAGGCCUUAGGAAAUGCUGACUCUCUUCAUUCUUGCUUCUUGUUUGCAGGUAAUGUGAGUGAUUUCUUUUCCUAGAGAUGAAAGUUUUUCUUAAUUGCUAGAAGUACAUAGAAGGAAACUGUCACUUUCUAAAUCUUAACUAAAAGUAGCUAAAUUUUAUUUUUUACUUAGAUUUUUAUCUGGACAGUCUCAGCCAGGAUUUAGAUAAUUGUUCUUAACUUAUAAAAACUCUUAUGGUGAAACAAAACCACUUUUACCUUAGAGAAAAUCUUUAUAAGCUACUGGGACUGAGAAUAUAGUACUUUUGAAAUAAAGAAAAGCAGUGAGUCUGUAUUUAUAGAGAAACACCUCAUUUGCAAACAUGAUAUGCAUGUACUACCUACUUCUGUAAACUUACCCUAAUUUAAAAGGAAGAAAAUUACGGUAGUCAUAAUUAUUUUCUUCUGGCGGAUGAAAUUUGUCCAAAA